rnacentral:rRNA from 1 species
GACGAACGCUGGCGGCGUGCUUAACACAUGCAAGUCGAACGGAAAGGCCCCUUCGGGGGUACUCGAGUGGCGAACAGGUGAGUAACACGUGAGUAACCUGCCCUUGACUUCGGGAUAACUUCAGGAAACUGGGGCUAAUACCGGAUAGGAAUCCUUGCUGCAUGGUGGGGGUUGGAAAGCUUCGGCGGUUUUGGAUGGACUCGCGGCUUAUCAGCUUGUUGGUGGGGUAGUGGCUUACCAAGGCUUUGACGGGUAGCCGGCCUGAGAGGGCGACCGGCCACACUGGGACUGAGAUACGGCCCAGACUCCGACGGGAGGCAGCAGUGGGGAAGAUUGCACAAUGGGCGGAAGCCUGAUGCAGCAACGCCGCGUGCGGGAUGACGGCCUUCGGGUUGUAAACCGCUUUCAGCAGGGGCGAAGCUUGUGGUGACGGUACCUGCAGAAGAAGCACCGGCUAACUACGUG